UGGGGAAUUUUGGACAAUGGGGGAAACCCUGAUCCAGCCAUCCCGCGUGUGCGAUGAAGGCCUUCGGGUUGUAAAGCACUUUUGGCAGGAAAGAAACGUCAUGGGUUAAUACCCCGUGAAACUGACGGUACCUGCAGAAUAAGCACCGGCUAACUACGUGCCAGCAGCCGCGGUAAUACGUAGGGUGCAAGCGUUAAUCGGAAUUACUGGGCGUAAAGCGUGCGCAGGCGGUUCGGAAAGAAAGAUGUGAAAUCCCAGAGCUCAACUUUGGAACUGCAUUUUUAACUACCGGGCUAGAGUGUGUCAGAGGGAGGUGAAUUCCGCGUGUAGCAGUGAAAUGCGUAGAUAUGCGGAGGAACACCGAUGGCGAAGGCAGCCUCCUGGGAUAACACUGACGCUCAUGCACGAAAGCGUGGGGAGCAAACAGG
rnacentral:rRNA from 1 species